rnacentral:rRNA from 1 species
UACGAGUGCCCCAAGCGUUAUCCGGAAUGAUUGGGCGUAAAGCGUCCGCAGGUGGCAGUUCAAGUCUGCUGUCAAAGACCGGGGCUUAACUUCGGAAAGGCAGUGGAAACUGAACAGCUAGAGUAUGGUAGGGGCAGAGGGAAUUCCUGGUGUAGCGGUGAAAUGCGUAGAGAUCAGGAAGAACAUCGGUGGCGAAGGCGCUCUGCUGGACCAUAACUGACACUCAGGGACGAAAGCUAGGGGAGCGAAUGGG